ensembl:lncRNA
CGAGUGACGGCGGGGGAGGGGCGGGGCUUGUCCGCAGCAGUAAAGGUCCAGAGCACAGAUGUGGAGGUCACUUUUACUUUUAAUUUGAAUUUUGAUAUACCUGCCUGAUUAUGCAGGAGCGUGUUUUCAUUCCUGAUUCAGACAGAUCCGCCUGCGAGCUGCAUCCGUUCCUGCGCGUUUGACGCGAAAAAGAAAGCAAAAAAAAAAAAAAAAAAACGGGUUGCAGAUGAACGUUAGGAGGAGAAAGUGAGAUGAUGGCGGCGGAUGCGGAGGAGACGGGAGGGCGGACGGACCCGUGUGCUCCUCCCGGCAUCAGUCUGAGGCGGAGGGGCUCGGACAGGAGGUGGAGGCUGCGCUCUGUGUAUCUGCAGUGCUAUUUUCUGACAAUUGCAACCAUCCUGGGAACAGGAAUUUUGGGUCUUCCUGUAACGAUAGCCCAUGCUGGCAUGAUGCCCUUCCUCAUCUCCUUCCUUGUUGGUUUCUGUGUUCAGGUAAGUCACGUACACCUUUCCCGGACUCUGACAGUAGAAAAAAAAAAUGGCAGAUUUAUUUAUUGCCUGUCCUCUGUUCUCCAGGCCUUACUCAUCUACCUGUUUGUGGAGCUUCUACAGAAAUGUCAGGCAAUGCAGCUGGAGUCUCUAAAGACCGGAGUGGCAGAGUGCAUCAUGAUGAGUCCAGUGAACAUCCAGAGCCCAACCUUCACAGACGAUGAGGAAGAGGAGGAAGAUGAAGCAGACAACGCAGCAGCAGAUACAGGUCUGCUGCAGCCGCACACUCUCACACUGCAGGAGCAGGCGGAAAACCUUCAGCCCAACCUAUAUCUCCUGGGGUGCCUCUUCCUGUCUCCGCCCAUGAGCUGCGCCUUCAGCUGCAUUCUCCUCUUCCAGUUGUAAGUUCCUGCCUCAGUAAAUGCUCUUGUGCAUGCAUUUCAACUCAAUCGUUAGUCUCUAGUCUUCAAGGCAAGAAAGUGAACUGGAGCUGGAUUAUUAUCUCAUAUUUCAAAAAUCCAACAUCAAAUAGAAUGUUAUCCUCUCCAAAAGACAGCCAGAGUCUUCUCAUUUCUUUCCUCUGCCAGCACGGGUGCACUAGUUCAUAAUUUGUGUGCGGGAACACUUUAAACUCAUUUAUAAAUAGCUGUCUUGGCUCCCCGUGCAGUUCAGAAUUGAUUUUAGAAUUAUUUUAAGCGUUUCUGAACGUUUCAGUGGUCAUGGACGUUCCCAUUUCUCUAACAUGAUGAGGUCGUCUGGUGCCUGCCUGUUUAUUGUUCCUAGAGUUAGAACCAUAAGAAUGAUGGGAUUUCCUACAGUCCUCAUCACUCCCAGGAAACCUCAGAGACUGUAGAGGCUCUUAAAGUCACACAAAAUCCAAAAAACCUUUGUCGUUUCCUAGGACACAGUUUGGUACGUUAACGUUUGGAGUGGGGUCAUCUGGACCCCACAAGAUAGCACAAGGGUUAAAAGAGCUGAAGCAUUGAAGGUGAGCUCUGGAAAACAGCAUCUGAGGUCAGUUUGUCUGGUUUUAUCGCUGUAAUGCGGGCAGCACGGGUUUGAGCUCGUACGGACGUGUGCGACCUCCCAGAGAGGGCCGCGGGGGCUUUUAGCAUCGCGGCUGGAGGGCGGUGUUAUCAGUGCGAGAACAGCUCUGAAACAGCAACUGAUCGAUGGUUCUGCCAUUGUGUUCAAGGAGGCUAAGAGCCGGAUCGAUGCAGAGGCUCAGCCGCUCCGUUUCCCGGCACACAGGGACUCGGCGCUGCCCUUCACAGCCAGCGGCCCAUGUUCACACACGCCUCUGCUCUGCAGACACACAGCCUGUGUGCUCCUUCUCUGUCCCAAAACACCUUUCUGCCUGAAAAAAUGACGUCAUGUGCGCCAGUUUUUGUCAAUAUAUUGAAAACUCAUCUCUUUUAUUUAUUGCAAAAAUCUCUUUAUCAGGUAAAUGGGUCCAAUUUCCAUACUGAUGUCUGAUAUCUAGCUACAAUGCAACAUUUCGUGAAUGUUCCCCCAGGUUUUAUCUUUCACAGCUCUAUUCCAACAUUGGCUUUGGUGUAAAGAAUUCCAGCCAGACAUAAAACAGCAAUUAUUAAUUUACCCUUUCACGAUUGAUUCUGAAAACACUUCCUAAUCAGUCCCUGAUGGGUCAAAGUUCAACCUAACUUUUAACGUGCAUUCAGUGGCUGCAUGUUUUGUACAUAGAUCCCAAAAACAAUCACAGAAAUGUAAGUAACUGCGCCUGAACGCGAGAGUUUUAAACGUGGAAGCCCUAACACACGAGGUUACACACAUUUCCAUAGACCUUUCAUUGAAAGCGGCAGCUUGAAUGCACAUUGCUGAGGGCGGUGUGAAUGUCAAUUGUUUUUCACAUUUUUGGUGUGCUUUUCCCACACUUGAAAAGGACUGAGCGUCCGAUGUUGAAGAUUGAUUUACUCAGACUGCCACUCGAGAUCAAUUUCCAAACUUUAAUUAAUUUCCGUUUUGAUCAGUCAGAAAUCAGUAGGUAAAAACCUGAAACACACACGAUAACAGUAAUAAAUAUUUACAAAUUCAAAUUCCACAUCCACAGUAAAAACCGGCUGCCCCUUCAUCAGAUGAAUAUGGACGACUCAAUUGCACACCGGUAAGCAAUCAAGCUUUACACGCAGACUCACAAGGCUUGUGUCUCGCCGGUGCUUUUUUUUUUUUUUUUAAUUAGGUGUGUGCGUCGCCAUUAAAUGAAUGAUGCAGCACGCUCAGCUGUUCAUUUCCACAUCACGUGACUCAGUCAGAUGUUCCAGAGCUCCAGCACCUUCAUGUUCAACAUUGGUGUGAUCCACAGCAAAGCAGCUUUCCUGUGACGGUCCUGCCGGUGUGAAAGCUCACCUGAGAGUCUGUUUCCUUUGAUGAUGAACACAUAUGUAAGAUAAGCUGAGCUUUAGACACAGCAGAGGGAGAAGAAAACGAUAGAAACAAAUGACAGAACUCCAUCCCUAACAGUAGAAACUAGUGAGUCCUUGUGUAAAAAACCUCUCCUUGUGCCUGUUCAGCAGUCAGCACACUCCCCUAAUUGAAGCUGAAACAUUUCAUCUGUUUAGUAUUUUUCAGUAGGAGAGCCUCUACCCUCAGGGGAAUCAGUGAUAGACUGUCAUUCAUAUUUGAAGGCUGCAUCAGUAUUUUGGAUGUUUAUUGGGAGGAAUGGACACUGUGUGUUUUGAAGGACAGCAUCCACAGUCAGGCUCUGUGUGCUGCAUCCAUAUUCCAGGCAAAAGUCAUUUGACUUGCAUGAUGUCUUUAACAUUUACAUACUUUCUUUGUGACACCAAUGAUUUUAGUAAAACGUCAUCCUACAGAGAAGAAAGUUUGACAAAGCAAAACAAGAGAGGCUGCAUCUUAAUCUUUAGCAUUUGAAACUUUGGGACAAAUUCAAUGAGUUGAUCAUUUUUUAAUUUUGGUCACCCUAAAUUAUUAGAGUUCUCAAAUAUUCUCUUCCACCGUAGUGUAAAUCAGUCUAACCGUGUCGUGGCUGCAACACAAAAAAGAUUUGUCACUUUUUUUUUCAAACUGAAAACAUUGAAGAUGAGCCAAUACAAGGGGACAACAAGGGGACCGAAAAAAAGAUCAGGUCUGAAGUCCAAGUUUUGUUACAGAUGGGUCUCCAGCGCUAACUGGGAGGUGUUUUUAAAGUUACACAGUAAAGAGUUAUUAUCAGAAGGAUAGAGAAAUGAUGCUGAAAUGAAAACUGUAACCUCAGACAGCUUUGCUCAUCAUGCUGCAGCAGCGCUGUGACAACAUGCUUGAUCACUGCUUCAAACCUAACAACCUGACUUUCUCUUCUCCUUCACCCCCAUUUGUCUUUCAACAGCGUUUCAAUUGGAGUUAGUUAUGUGUUAGCCGGCAGUGAGGCGUGUGCAGCACUUCUAAAUGUCAGGUAAGUCUAACAGAAGCAUCACAUCUGGAAAACGACCUCCAUCUCACUCUAGUACUGUGAUUGUGUUCUUUCCUGGUUGCUUACAUCAGUUAGCGUUGACUUUCUUGUCGUAUUGUGAAGAAGUUUACACCUAGUUUGACAAACCUCUUUAGGGUUGUUUGUGAUGGCACACACUUUACACACAUGAUUAUGUCAUGUGAUCAUGUCAUGUCCAGCACCCUUCUCUAAGGCCCUAAAAUGAGUCACAAAUGCAAAAAGGGAGUCCUGUACAUUUAUAUGAGCCACGCAUUAUUCAGGGACUUUCACCCACAUUGCCUUUCAUGUUAAGGCACCUCUGUUUGUUAUAUCUUAGGGACUGGACUCAUUUGGUUCGCUUUAAGUGAACCAGACAGAGUUUGUUUCCCCUGAUAAUCCGGAAGAAAGUUUCAGUCUGAA